rnacentral:rRNA from 1 species
AUGCCCCUAGACUUCACCAAGCACUUCAUCGUCGUGCUGACGGAGUGCAAGCUGAGGAGCAAUACCAGCUGCUCCUGGAGGGUGACGGUGAAGCUAAUGAACAAGGUGACCCUGGAUCAGGGUUGGGCCACCUACACCGUCAUUCAGCAGAUCAAGAUCGGCUACAUGGUGACGUUCAAGCUCCUCACUCCUGACACCCUCAAGGUCAUCAUCUUCGACGACGAUGGCAUUGAGGUGGUCAACAAGUGCGGGAAGCACGACGAAGCCUUCGCCGCCAAGGACUAG